AUUGAACGCUAGCGGGAUGCCUUACACAUGCAAGUCGAACGGAGUGGCGAACGGGCGAGUAAUGUAUCGGAACGUGCCCAGUAGCGGGGGAUAAAUACGCGAAAGCGUAGCUAAUAACUCAUACUAUUGGACCGGCCGUUACCGGUGUAGCUAGCUUGUGGGGUAACGGCUCACCAAGGCGACGAACCGUAGCUGGUUUGAGAGGACGACCAGCCAAACUGGAACUGAGACACGGCCCAGACUCCUACGUGAGGCAGCAGUGGGGAAUUUUGGACAAUGGGCGAAACCCUGAUCCAGCCAUCCCGCGUGUGUGAUGAAGGCCUUCGGGUUGUAAAGCACUUUUGGCGGGAAAGCGGUACCUGCAGAAUAAGCACCGGCUAACUACGUGCCAGCAGCCGCGGUAAUAC
rnacentral:rRNA from 1 species